GGGAGUGCAACUCAGUGGUAGAGCAUGUGAUUAGCAUUCUCAAGGCCCUGGGUUCAAGCCCCAGCACCA
rnacentral:tRNA from 1 species